rnacentral:lncRNA from 1 species
UGACAUAAACAAUCAUGUACACUAUGAACAAGAACUGUCCUCUCCAGGGUGGGGUGGGCACCAGGUUAAGAGUUAGGCAUCUCCUUGAGAUGUCCUUAUUUGCUUAGGUCCUGCAUGAAAGCACAUAGUGCCCUAGCUCUUUUGAAAAGCAGGAAAAUCCUGAAAGAAAGCAACACAGAGCUUUCUCCAUUGUGAGGUAGUGAGGAGGGGAUUAGGACACUAGGUGAGAAAGGACAGGCCUAGACAAUGAAGCAAGGGGCGAGUGGGUGGAUGGGUAAAACCACCUGCUCCUCAAAACAGCCAGGCUCUGAGAUGAAGCAGGAAUCUGCACUUAAACCGAGGCUGGAUCCAUCCUAGGGAUUCAAGUGAGUCUGGCAUUUUGACAGGAAUCCCAGUGGAAGUCUUUUUGUGGAGUGAAGGGCGGGGGCCUGUGUUGUCAAGCGAAAACAGAAAAGAGAAGGGAAUUCCACCUUUGCCCACUGAGAACACAUCUAUGCUGAGAACACAUCUACCCAACUCCUCUGUCACAACCCCUGUGAGAAGGUUCUGCCAUCUCCCAGCCCUGAAGAUUGUGAGGUCAUCUGACCACUUAUUACAUUGCUAAACAUGGCAGGAUGUCACCUGACUCGACACUAAGCUGCCCAUCAAUCAUCACAUCCCCUUUCUCCCACUUACUUUUCUAUCACCCCGUAGAUUCCCAACAGCUGUCCUUAAGUCCUCCAGGCUACAGAAACCACUCUUGAAACAAUAUGUCAGCAUACCAUUAGUGCCCUUUAACUCAUACCCUCACUUCCCAGCCCCUCCUCUGUGAACGAAGUCUCUCCUUACCUCUUCCUCCAGCACUAAUCAAUCUAAUGUUCCUUCACUCUUUUCUCCCCUCCCAGCUUCCCUCCAACCUGCACCCAAUCCCCCCAAAUCCUUUCUCCUCUUUCUUUGCAAUUCUCCACACCAAGACUGAACACUUGUCAGAAAUGGUGCUCCCCCUGGGCCCCUCCACACCUCCUGAAGCCCAAUCCCUGUCACUUCUUACCACCCCCAGCUCCCUGAUGGCCCUGGGCCUCCCUCCCGACAGCUGAGGCCCUUCCUGGAUCUCUACACGUCACCAAGCUAAGCCAGUGUUCCAAAAUAGUCUCCUGAACAAUGAUGACAACUGCACAGUUAUUUUGGAAGAACUUCCUGGCAGUGAUGGCAGUGGAACAUUGGAAACAGAGAUGAACAGGAGGUGGGAAGAGGAGGCUAAGUACAUGUAGGCCUAAAAGUCUCUGCCUUGGGAGAUUUUUAACAGUCCUGGAUGGAGGAGAAACAAGAUCUUAUAUUGGACACUGAUUCAUAGCAUAUACAGCCUUCUGAGGAACUUCACUCCACCCCUGCAAGAAAUUGCCACCUAGCUGAUGUCAUAACUGAGACUUCAAAAUGCUAUUCCACUGUUUUAUCAAGCCAAUUGCUUCAGGAUGAUGGGGAAGAUAAUCAGACCAGCAAAUUCCACGAGCAUGGGUCCGUUGCUCUGUUUCUUUUGCUGUAAAGUGAGUUCCUUGAUCAGAAACAAUGCAAUGUGGAAUACUACAAUGAUGAAUAAAGCAUUCUAUAAGCCCAUGGAUGGUAGUUUUGGCAGAAGCAUUGUGUGCAGGGAAGACAAAACAAUAUCCAGAGUAAGUGUCUAUUACAUUAAGAACAAACAGUGUCCCUUCUAUGAUGAAAAUGUCCCCACAUAAUCAACCUACCACCAGGUGGCUGUGUGAUCACCCUAGGGACUUGAUGUUGGUCUCUGCUCAAUGUUGGCCAUAUCAGGGACUCAAUGUUGCUCUCUGCUGUUGGCAGAUUGGACUUUCAGCAGUAACUGUAAGCCAGAUUGGCCUUGUUGAGUGGAAGUCCACGUUACUUCCCCAAGCAUAACCGCUAUCACUGCCAUCAUGGUCACUUUGUUCAUGAGACCAUUAGGCAAUGACAGAGGUAGCUGGGAAAAAAGGGUGACCAGUAUCCA